rnacentral:piRNA from 1 species
UUCUCUUGAAUUCUGUGGGUGCUU